rnacentral:rRNA from 1 species
UACGGAGGGAGCUAGCGUUGUUCGGAAUUACUGGGCGUAAAGCGCACGUAGGCGGCUUUUUAAGUCAGGGGUGAAAUCCCGGGGCUCAACCCCGGAACUGCCCUUGAAACUGGAGAGCUAGAAUCUUGGAGAGGCGAGUGGAAUUCCGAGUGUAGAGGUGAAAUUCGUAGAUAUUCGGAAGAACACCAGUGGCGAAGGCGACUCGCUGGACAAGCAUUGACGCUGAGGUGCGAAAGCGUGGGGAUCAAACAGG